UACGAGGGGGGCAAGCGUUGUUCGGAUUUAUUGGGCGUAAAGGGUGCGUAGGCGGUUUGGCAAGUCUUGUGUGAAAUCUUCGGGCUCAACCCGAAGUCUGCACAAGAAACUGCCGGGCUUGAGUAUGGGAGAGGUGAGUGGAAUUUCCGGUGUAGCGGUGAAAUGCGUAGAUAUCGGAAGGAACACCUGUGGCGAAAGCGGCUCACUGGACCAUAACUGACGCUGAUGCACGAAAGCUAGGGGAGCAAACAGG
rnacentral:rRNA from 1 species